rnacentral:lncRNA from 1 species
AGAAAGGCAAAUUCGCAGGCCUUACCCCAGACCUACUGAAUCAGAAAUUCUGGUGCUAUCUAGAAGCCUGGUCCCAGGAGGCAGCAAUCUAAACGGUGAAGAAGAAAUGUGUGUGACUUAGCAUCAACACAUUAUGAUAGUGUAUAAUGUGCUUCCAGGAAGAAGUCAAGGUGGAGAGCAAGAAUCUGGCACUGAGUAUAGUAUAUCUGGCCGUGCAUCCCACGUUUACAAAAAAUUAUGUGUUCUCCAAUAGAGCAAAGAUUGUGCUGCAAGCCUUAGAAUAGUGAUAUAGCCUUGAAAAGAAUUUCCUAUGCCUUGGUAAGUUUCUAUGAAAAACACUUUAUAAUUAACAAAGUGCUUCCCUACAUGCUGAUCAAUCCUAACAAUUUUGUGAUGCAGGCAGUCUUGUUUCAGGUUUACAGGUUCAGAAAAGUUUGACUUACCCAAGAUAAAAGUCAGUGGCAGGACUGAGAUUGAAAACCAGCUCUUUUGUCAGUCCAGUUUUCUCUUAACCUCUCACAGUUGGUUACUAAUUUGGUUUUCAGCCAAAUAGAUAGUAGUUAAAAAGUGGUUUGAAAAGGGGUCAUAACUAGUUCAAGCACUGGGAAGCGGUAUCCUCCACUUUAAAUUGGUUGAUUGACAAUCUGGAUUAAAAGUCAGCCUCCUGUGACUAUUCUGAGAUGCUGUCCUUGGGGUGUGCACUCCUUCCUGCUUCCUGGUUGAGACUGUUGGCAGUAGUGAACCACUGUUACUGAUGCGAAGGUGUUAGUGUGGAAAAAUGGCUAAGAACCACUGCCCUUGGCUAUGAUUGCCUCAAAAGUUUUAGCUGUCCUCUGAGGUCAAGUUUAGCACAGCCCCAGCUUCUCCUUCUCUACUUUUAAGAUCUGGAUAUGGUAGGUCUUGAAUGCUGGCCUAAGGCUGGAUUUUAGCUUGGGGAUUUUUGCAAGGGCCAAUAAGUGGCACCCAAAUUCUGAACCUAGGUUCUUGAGAAAUAAGACAAAAAGUAGCUGGAGAAACAAAAUAUCACUUCCAUUAUCAAUAGGUUAGAAGGAUAUAGCUUUAUGUGAUAGCCUAAAUGCUUGUUAAUUUCCUGUCCUAUGGGAAAAUGUGAGUAUAUAGAGCAGAUACUCACCAAAGCUGCUCCUUCCUACUGGUCAUGUGGCAAAGAAAGAACAAAUCCCCCCCACAUUCAAUCUAUCAAACUUUGAUUAGUUCCACCUAAUUGAAAAACACGGACCAAAGGCAGUCAUCCACCAACUAGGUUAUUCAUUCAACCUGCAAGAAGAGUGAGUGGAGCGACAGACUAGGAGCAUUAUGUUAAUUAAGCUCACUCUGUAAAGGAAGAAGUGGGGAUAAAGCAUACCACCUCCCCCACUGGAUGUAAGGAAUUCUGAAGAAGGGCUAAUGAUCCAGGAGGAAGACUGAUCUGGCAACAGAUGCAAGAUGUAUUUGCUGGGAACAAGGAGGAAAGGUGGGACCUCAGUAAGCAGACUGUUCGAAUAACUGAGGCACAAGACUGUGAUGGUGUGCAGGAAUGAAAACUGAGUCAUAAGGAAUAUGGUGCUACUUCCUUACGGUACAAAUGGAAAGGGCAAGGCAGUUACAAUCCCACAAGAUUUGAGAUUAAGACUCAACUCCGCUACUUAAUGGCUAUGCAAUUUUGCCUCAGUUUCCUCACCUGUGAAUAAGUCCUAACAGGCUUAUUAUGAGGAUCACUUUAAACAAUACUCUAGAAAAGCACUACAUAACUAUCAUCACCACAGACAAUUUAGUCUCUUUCAAUGAAAUCAUCAUACUUCUUUUUCUCAUCUUACUGCAUUGUGGAGAUGUGAAAGGUCCUUGCACUGGCUAGGACCUCUAAUACAUAGUAGUAUUACCGGCUAUCCUUGACUUGCUAUUGACUGGAAUGGGAAUGUUUUUAGAUCUUCACUGUUAGAUAUGUUGUUUGUUGAGAGUUUCAGCAAGUAAUCUGUAUCAGAUUAAGGAAGUUCUCUUAAUGGUUUGCUAAAUUUUUAAAAAUUCAUACAUGGAUUUUUUUUUUAAUCAAAUAACUUUUCUGCAUCUACUGAGAUGACCAUAUGGUUUUUCUCUGUUAUUACUGUGGUAAACUGCAUUUUGAGAUUUCAAAUAUUGAACUAUCUUUGAUCCUGGAAUAAACUCUACUCUGGCAUGAUUAUUUAAUGUGAGAGAGAGAGCCUGGUUAAAAGACCUGGCUUCCAGUCAUUGUUCAGUCUCACGGCUUCAAAAACCAAUGAUGUGCUAACUUCCAGUUUUAUAUCUUCAGCCCCAACUCCCCUAAAUUUCAGACCCAUAUAUAUCCAACUGCUGAUGUGACAUCUCUACCUCUUGGAUGUCUAACAGGAAUCUCAAACUUAUCAUGAUGGAACAUGAAUUAAACCUGCUUCUCUUCCCCAUCUCUGUUAAUAGAAAUUCUUCCAGUUGCUCAGCCCAAAAACCCUGAAGUUAUUUUUGAGUCUUCUCUCACAUUCCACAUCUGAUAAAUUGGCAAAUGUUGUUGUCUCUACCUUCAAAAUAUAUCCAGAAUCUUACCACUCCUCACAAUUUCCACUGCUGCGAUACUGGUCCAAGUCAUUAUCUCUUGCCUGAGCUAUUACAAUAGCCCCCUACAGGUCUACUUUCUUCUGCAUUUGCCGUCUCUACAACUAUUCUCAACACAAAAGCCAGAGUGAUACUUCCAAAACCCACAGAUGAUCAUGUCACUUCCCCGCUUAAAAUCCUCCAAUGGCUCUCCAUCUUGGAGUAAAAGCUAAAGUUCUUAUAUUGUGUAAGGCCC